GUCCUUUUGGCGUAAGCGGUAGCGCGGCUGGUUGAAGCCCAGCGGGUCCCGGUUCGACUCCGGGUGAGGACAC
rnacentral:tRNA from 1 species